rnacentral:tRNA from 1 species
CCCCGCAUAGCUCAGUGGUUAGAGCGCUCGGCUGUAGAUAGUCUAGGAUAGAGAUUCCAAAAAGGAUGACUAUGAAAUCCGAUAAGUCGAGAACUCGCAGAACCCGAGAGAUCCCAGGUUCGAAUCCUGGUGCGGGGA